rnacentral:rRNA from 1 species
CACACCUUUAUCGCGCAUCCACAUCUCACACCUGUGCACAACCUGUAGCUUGGGAUGAUUACAAUUCUGGAAACGGUAUUGAAAGCCCUUGCUAUGAAUUUUUAAACAACCGUAUUAAAAGUUAUAGAAUGUUAUGGCGUGUAACAGCGCAAAUAAAUAUACAACUUUCAGCAACGGAUCUCUUGGCUCUCGCAUCGAUGAAGAACGCAGCGAAAUGCGAUAAGUAAUGUGAAUUGCAGAAUUCAGUGAAUCAUCGAAUCUUUGAACGCACCUUGCGCUCCUUGGUAUUCUGAGGAGCAUGCCUGUUUGAGUGUCAUGAAGCUCUCAACUGCUUUAGCUUGUUAUGGUUGAAGUGAAGUUGGAUUUGGAGGAAUGAUUAUUGCUGGCGUGACCUUUUCAGGUUGCUUGUUAGCUCCUCUUAAAUGGAUGAACUUUCCAGUAGUAAAAUAACACCAAUGUGAUAAUUAUCUACGUUGGAUGUGCUUUUUACAAGGAAAGAUAUAUCUGUCUUGAAGGCAAACACCUCUUGACGAAACAAAUGACAAAUUUGACCUCAAAUCAGGUAGGACUAC